rnacentral:rRNA from 1 species
AAACUCAAAUGAAUUGACGGGGACCCGCACAAGCGGUGGAUGAUGUGGAUUAAUUCGAUGCAACGCGAAAAACCUUACCUACCCUUGACAUGUCUGGAAUCCUGGAGAGAUUUGGGAGUGCCCGAAAGGGAACCGGAACACAGGUGCUGCAUGGCUGUCGUCAGCUCGUGUCGUGAGAUGUUGGGUUAAGUCCCGCAACGAGCGCAACCCUUGUCGUUAAUUGCCAUCAUUUAGUUGGGCACUUUAACGAGACUGCCGGUGACAAACCGGAGGAAGGUGGGGAUGACGUCAAGUCCUCAUGGCCCUUAUGGGUAGGGCUUCACACGUCAUACAAUGGUCGGUACAGAGGGUUGCCAAGCCGCGAGGUGGAGCCAAUCCCAGAAAGCCGAUCGUAGUCCGGAUCGUAGUCUGCAACUCGACUGCGUGAAGUCGGAAUCGCUAGUAAUCGCGGAUCAGCAUGUCGCGGUGAAUACGUUCCCGGGUCUUGUACACACCGCCCGUCACACCAUGGGAGCGGGUUCCGCCAGAAGUAGGUAGCCUAACCGCAAGGGGGGCGCUUACCACGGCGGGGUUCGUGACUGGGGUGAAGUCGUAACAAGGUAGCCGUAGGGGAACCUGCGGCUGGAUCACCUCCUUUCUG